AUUUGAUUAGCAAAAAGGUUAAUGCUCAAAAUUUAGGAUUUUGUAUGGAGGGUUCGAUUCUCUCAUCUAAUU
rnacentral:tRNA from 1 species